rnacentral:rRNA from 1 species
UACGGGGGGGGCAAGCGUUGUUCGGAAUUACUGGGCGUAAAGGGCGCGUAGGCGGUCAGACUAAGUCAGAUGUAAAAUUUUAGGGCUUAACCCUAAUAGGUCAUUUGAUACUGGUCGACUAGAGUGUGGAAGGGGUUACUGGAAUUCCUGGUGUAGCGGUGAAAUGCGUAGAUAUCAGGAGGAACACCGGAGGCGAAGGCGGGUAACUGGGCCAACACUGACGCUGAGGCGCGAAAGCUAGGGGAGCAAACAGG